GAUGAAGAACGUAGCGAAAUGCGAUAAGUAAUGUGAAUUGCAGAAUUCAGUGAAUCAUCGAAUCUUUGAACGCACAUUGCGCCCGCCAGUAUUCUGGCGGGCAUGCCUGUCCGAGCGUCAUUUCAACCCUCGAACCCCUCCGGGGGGUCGGCGUUGGGGACCUCGGGAGCCCCUAAGACGGGAUCCCGGCCCCGAAAUACAGUGGCGGUCUCGCCGCAGCCUCUCCUGCGCAGUAGUUUGCACAACUCGCACCGGGAGCGCGGCGCGUCCACGUCCGUAAAACACCCAACUUCUGAAAUGUUGACCUCGGAUCAGGUAGGAAUACCCGCUGAACUUAAGCAUAUCAAUAAGCGGAGGA
rnacentral:misc_RNA from 1 species